rnacentral:tRNA from 1 species
GCCUGGGUGGCUCAAUCGGUUAAGUGUCUGACUUUGGCUCAGGUCAUGAUCUCACGGUUUGUGGAUUCAAGCCCCACACUGGGCU